rfam:Callithrix jacchus chromosome 17, whole genome shotgun sequence
AGCUUUGCACAGUGGCAGUAUCACAGCCAAUGAGGUUUAUCUGAGGUGCAAUUAUUGCUAAUUGAAAACUUUUCCCAAUACCUUGUCAUGACGACUUGAAAUAUGGUCAGCACGGCAAUUUUUGGUCUCUAUGGAAG